rnacentral:rRNA from 2 species
GGGUUGUGAGGUUAAGCGACCAAGCGUACACGGUGGAUGCCCUGGCAGUCAGAGGCGAUGAAGGACGUGCUAAUCUGCGAAAAGCGCCGGUAAGGUGAUAUGAACCGUUAUAACCGGCGAUGUCCGAAUGGGGAAACCCAGUGUGACUCGUCACACUAUCAUUAACUGAAUCCAUAGGUUAAUGAGGCGAACCGGGGGAACUGAAACAUCUAAGUACCCCGAGGAAAAGAAAUCAACCGAGAUUCCCCCAGUAGCGGCGAGCGAACGGGGAGCAGCCCAGAGCCUGAAUCAGCAUAUGUGUUAGUGGAAGCGUCUGGAAAGGCGCGCGAUACAGGGUGACAGCCCCGUACACAAAAGCGCAUGUGCUGUGAGCUCGAUGAGUAGGGCGGGACACGUGGUAUCCUGUCUGAAUAUGGGGGGACCAUCCUCCAAGGCUAAAUACUCCUGACUGACCGAUAGUGAACCAGUACCGUGAGGGAAAGGCGAAAAGAACCCCGGCGAGGGGAGUGAAACAGAACCUGAAACCGUGUACGUACAAGCAGUGGGAGCCCCACCACCAAAGCGUUUCGCUUUGCGUGGUGCGCAAAAUGCGUAACGACAGCACGAUUGCGGUUAACGGAGCGUAAGCGACGUUCAACACAAGAAUCAGGCAGUGGAGCGUUUUGGGGUGGGGUGACUGCGUACCUUUUGUAUAAUGGGUCAGCGACUUAUAUUCUGUAGCAAGGUUAACCGUAUAGGGGAGCCGGAGGGAAACCGAGUCUUAACCGGGCGUUAAGUUGCAGGGUAUAGACCCGAAACCCGGUGAUCUAGCCAUGGGCAGGUUGAAGGUUGGGUAACACUAACUGGAGGACCGAACCGACUAAUGUUGAAAAAUUAGCGGAUGACCUGUGGCUGGGGGUGAAAGGCCAAUCAAACCGGGAGAUAGCUGGUUCUCCCCGAAAGCUAUUUAGGUAGCGCCUCGUGAAUUCAUCUCCGGGGGUAGAGCACUGUUUCGGCCAGGGGGCCAUCCCGGCUUACCAACCCGAUGCAAACUGCGAAUACCGGAGAAUGUUAUCACGGGAGACACACGGCGGGUGCUAACGUCCGUCGUGAAGAGGGAAACAACCCAGACCGCCAGCUAAGGUCCCAAAGUCAUGGUUAAGUGGGAAACGAUGUGGGAAGGCCCAGACAGCCAGGAUGUUGGCUUAGAAGCAGCCAUCAUUUAAAGAAAGCGUAAUAGCUCACUGGUCGAGUCGGCCUGCGCGGAAGAUGUAACGGGGCUAAACCAUGCACCGAAGCUGCGGCAGCGACACUGUGUGUUGUUGGGUAGGGGAGCGUUCUGUAAGCCUGCGAAGGUGUGCUGUGAGGCAUGCUGGAGGUAUCAGAAGUGCGAAUGCUGACAUAAGUAACGAUAAUGCGGGUGAAAAACCCGCACGCCGGAAGACCAAGGGUUCCUGUCCAACGUUAAUCGGGGCAGGGUGAGUCGACCCCUAAGGCGAGGCCGAAAGGCGUAGUCGAUGGGAAACAGGUUAAUAUUCCUGUACCUGGUGUUACUGCGAAGGGGGGACGGAGAAGGCUAUGUUGGCCGGGCGACGGUUGUCCCGGUUUAAGCGUGUAGGCUGGUUUUCCAGGCAAAUCCGGAAAAUCAAGGCUGAGGCGUGAUGACGAGGCACUACGGUGCUGAAGCAACAAAUGCCCUGCUUCCAGGAAAAGCCUCUAAGCCUCAGGUAACAUCAGAUCGUACCCGAAACCGACACAGGUGGUCAGGUAGAGAAUACCAAGGCGCUUGAGAGAACCCGGGUGAAGGAACUAGGCAAAAUGGUGCCGUAACUUCGGGAGAAGGCACGCUGACACGUAGGUGAAGCGGUUUACCCGUGAAGCUGAAGUCAGUCGAAGAUACCAGCUGGCUGCAACUGUUUAUUAAAAACACAGCACUGUGCAAACACGAAAGUGGACGUAUACGGUGUGACGCCUGCCCGGUGCCGGAAGGUUAAUUGAUGGGGUCAGCGCAAGCGAAGCUCCUGAUCGAAGCCCCGGUAAACGGCGGCCGUAACUAUAACGGUCCUAAGGUAGCGAAAUUCCUUGUCGGGUAAGUUCCGACCUGCACGAAUGGCGUAAUGAUGGCCAGGCUGUCUCCACCCGGGACUCAGUGAAAUUGAACUCGCUGUGAAGAUGCAGUGUACCCGCGGCAAGACGGAAAGACCCCGUGAACCUUUACUAUAGCUUGACACUGAACACUGGUCCUUGAUGUGCAGGAUAGGUGGGAGGCUUUGAAGUGUGGACGCCAGUCUGCAUGGAGCCGUCCUUGAAAUACCACCCUUUAAUGGCUGGUGUUCUAACGUAGACCCGUGAACCGGGUUGCGGACAGUGUCUGGUGGGUAGUUUGACUGGGGCGGUCUCCUCCUAAAGCGUAACGGAGGAGCACGAAGGUUGGCUAAUCCUGGUCGGACAUCAGGAGGUUAGUGCAAUGGCAUAAGCCAGCUUGACUGCGAGCGUGACGGCGCGAGCAGGUGCGAAAGCAGGUCAUAGUGAUCCGGUGGUUCUGAAUGGAAGGGCCAUCGCUCAACGGAUAAAAGGUACUCCGGGGAUAACAGGCUGAUACCGCCCAAGAGUUCAUAUCGACGGCGGUGUUUGGCACCUCGAUGUCGGCUCAUCACAUCCUGGGGCUGAAGUAGGUCCCAAGGGUAUGGCUGUUCGCCAUUUAAAGUGGUACGCGAGCUGGGUUUAGAACGUCGUGAGACAGUUCGGUCCCUAUCUGCCGUGGGCGCUGGAGAACUGAGGGGGGCUGCUCCUAGUACGAGAGGACCGGAGUGGACGCAUCACUGGUGUUCGGGUUGUCAUGCCAAUGGCACUGCCCGGUAGCUAAAUGCGGAAGAGAUAAGUGCUGAAAGCAUCUAAGCACGAAACUUGCCCCGAGAUGAGUUCUCCCUGAGACUACAAGUCUCCUGAAGGAACGUUGAAGACGACGACGUUGAUAGGCCGGGUGUGUAAGCGCAGCGAUGCGUUGAGCUAACCGGUACUAAUGAACCGUGAGGCUUAACCUUACAACGCCGAAG